UACGUAGGGGGCAAGCGUUGUCCGGAAUCAUUGGGCGUAAAGAGCGCGUAGGCGGUCCGGUAAGUCCGCUCUGAAAGUCCGGGGCUCAACCCCGGGAGGCGGGCGGAUACUGUCGGGCUAGAGUCCGGAAGAGGCGAGUGGAAUUCCUGGUGUAGCGGUGAAAUGCGCAGAUAUCGGAAGGAACAUCAGUGGCGAAGGCGACUUUCUGGACAGAUACUGACACUGAGGCACGAAAGCAUGGGGAGCAAACAGG
rnacentral:rRNA from 1 species